CCAAUAGCGUAUAUUAAAGUUGUUGCAGUUAAAAAGCUCGUAGUUGAACUUCGGGGUUUACCCAUUGGUCAGGCUUAAUUGUCUGUACUGGUGAGAUAAAUCUCUACCUUCUGAGGAACUUUCAUGCAAUUUAUUUGGUGUGAUUGGAAAUCAGGACUAUUACUGUGAAACAAUUAGAGUGUUUAAUGCAGGCUAACGUCUGAAUAUAUUAGCAUGGAAUAAUGAAAUAGGACGGCUUGGUUCUAUUUCGUUGGUUUCUAGGAUCACCGUAAUGAUUAAUAGUGAUAGUUGGGGGCAUUAGUAUUCAAUUGUCAGAGGUGAAAUUCUUGGAUUUAUUGAAGACUAACUACUGCGAAAGCAUUUGCCAAGGAUGUUUUCAUUAAUCAAGAACGAAAGUUAGGGGAUCGAAGACGAUCAGAUACCGUCGUAGUCUUAACCAUAAACUAUGCCGACUAGGGAUCGGACGAAGUUAAUUUUAUAAUGACGCGUUCGGCACCUUACG
rnacentral:rRNA from 1 species